rnacentral:lncRNA from 1 species
UUUUUUUUUUUUUUUUUUUUUUUUGGUAGAGUUUCGCUCUUGUUGCCCAGGCUAGAAUGCAAUGACAUGAUAUUGGCUCACCACAACCUCUACCUCCCAGGUUCAAGUGAUUCUCCUGCCUCAGCCUCCCGAAUAGCUGGGAUUAACAGGCAUGCCCAGCUAAUUUUUGUACUUUUAGUAGAGAUGGGGUUUCUCUACUACAUCCCGUUGGUCAGGCUGGUCUUGAACUCCCAACCUCAGGUGAUCUGCCAGCCUCAGCCUCCCAAAGUGCUGGGAUUACAGGUGUGAGCCACCGUGCCUGACUGUCAUAGCUCUACUCUUAUUAUCUGAAAGAUCUGUUUUAGAGAAAAGUGAUUCUGAUUUUUUUUUUUUUUUUUAAAGACAGGGUCUCAUACUGUUGCCCAGGCUUGGAGUGCAGUGGCAUGAUCACAGUUCACUGCAGCCUUGAUCUCCUGGGCUCAGGCAAUCCUCCCACCUUAGCCUCCCAAGUAGCUGGGACUACAGACGUGUAAAACCAUGCCUGGCUAAUUAAAAAAAUUUUUUUGUAGAGAUUGGGUUUUGUCAUGUGACCCAGGCUGGUCUUGAACUUCUGGGCUCAAGCGAUCCACCUGCUUUGGCCUCCCAAAGUGCUGGAAUUAUAGGUGUGAGCCACAGUGCCCAGCCUGAUUCUAAUUCUUAAAACUUUCACACAGGCUGGGUGCGGUGGCUCCUGCCUGUAAUUCCAGCACUGAGCCCUUACUGCAUCUCAUUCAUUCUUCCACCUGUGUUCCUGGGCAUUCUUCUCCCAUUUUAUAGAUGAAGGAACCAAAGCCCACAAAGGUCACAUAGGCCGGGCGCGGUGGCUUACACCUGUAAUCCUAGCACUUUGGGAGGCCAAGGCAGGCAGACUGCUUGAGCCCAGGAGUUUGAGGCCAGCCUUGGUAACAUGGAGAAACCCCAUCUCUACAAAAUAAUUAGCCUGGCGUGAUGGCACGCACCUGUAGUCCCAGCUACCCUGGGAGCUGAGGCAGGAGGAUCUUUUGAGCCUGGGAGGCAGAAUCUGUCUCAAAAAAAAGAAAAAACAGUCACA